rnacentral:rRNA from 1 species
GACGAACGCUGGCGGCGUGCUUAACACAUGCAAGUCGAACGGAAAGGCCCUGCUUUUGUGGGGUGCUCGAGUGGCGAACGGGUGAGUAACACGUGAGUAACCUGCCCUUGACUUUGGGAUAACUUCAGGAAACUGGGGCUAAUACCGGAUAGGAGCUCCUGCUGCAUGGUGGGGGUUGGAAAGUUUCGGCGGUUGGGGAUGGACUCGCGGCUUAUCAGCUUGUUGGUGGGGUAGUGGCUUACCAAGGCUUUGACGGGUAGCCGGCCUGAGAGGGUGACCGGCUACAGUGGGACUGAGAUACGGCCCAGAGUCCUACGGGAGGCAGCAGUGGGGAAUAUUGCACAAUGGGCGGAAGCCUGAUGCAGCAACGCCGAGUGCGGGAUGACGGCCUUCGGGUAGUAAACCGCUUUCGCCUGUGACGAAGCGUGAGUGACGGUAAUGGGUAAAGAAGCACCGGCUAACUACGU